rnacentral:rRNA from 1 species
UGUCGACGAAUUCAGAUUUUCCGGUUGAUCCUGCCGGAGGCGACCGCUAUUGGAAUUCGAUUAAGCCAUGCGAGUCGAGAGUCUUUAAGGACUCGGCGUACCGCUCAGUAACACGUGGGUAACCUGCCCUAUGCUGGAGAAUAACCUCGGGAAACUGAGAAUAAUACUCCAUAGUUCACCACGCCUGGAACGGUGGGUGGAUCAAAGCUCCGGCGGCAUAGGAUGGGCCUGCGGCGUAUCAGGUCGUAGGGGGUGUAAAGUACCCUCUAGCCUUCAACGCGUACGGGUUGUGGGAGCAAUCGCCCGGAGAUGGAUUCUGAGACACGAAUCCAGACCCUACGGGGUGCAGCAGGCGCGAAAACUUCACACUGCAGGAAACUGUGAUGAGGGAAUUCCAAGUGGUAUGACAAAGUCAUAUCUUUUACCAACUUUUAAUCGGUUGGUGAAUAAGGGGUGGGAAAGACCGGUGCCAGCCGCCGCGGUAAUACCGGCACCCCAAGUGGUCGUCGCUUUUAUUGGGCCUAAAACGUCCGUCGCCUGUUUGGUACAUUCGUGGGUAAAUCAACCAGCUUAACUGGUUGAAUUCUGCGAGGACGGCCAGACUAGGGACCGGGAGAGGUAUGGGGUACUCUCAGGGUAGGGGUAAAAUCCAGUCAUCCUGAGGGGACCACCUGUUGCGAAGGCGCCAUACUAGAACGGAUCCGACGGUCAGGGACGAAGCCUAGGGGCACGAACCGGAUUAGAUACCCGGGUAGUCCUAGGUGUAAACGCUGUGGACUUGGUGUUGGGGACUCCACGAGUGUCCCCAGUGCCGGAGUGAAGAUGUUAAGUCCACUGCCUGGGGAGUACGGUCGCAAGGCUGAAACUUAAAGGAAUUGGCGGGGGAGCACAGCAACGAGAGGAGCGUGCGGUUUAAUUGGAUCAACGCCGG